CAAAUGUAUGCAAGCGCCGCGUACCAAAGUUGGUGCUCGAGGGAGUGCUGAGUGCUUUCGUCUUCUACGAGUGUUCGUUUUCUUCAUGUUGACAAAUAAUGCUGGUAAAGAAAGCCUGCAAUAAGUGAAAUACCACAUGACUGCGCUCCCACCUGCAUAAGAAAGCAGCUGAGCUUGUUGGAAGCAACUGUUUCGCCUGUUGUCUGCUGCCAGGGACAGCAUUCCGUAUCUUGACAAUGGGUAACGGAAGUGAUGAAAUGCAGUUCAGGGAACUGCUGGGCAAGCUGGAAGCAUUGUGGACAGCAGAACAGUUCUGUGAGAAACAAGAUGACAUAUGGCGCCUGCUCAAGCGGGACGUCCCUCGAAGAUCCAGGUUCAGCUGCCGCACUGUCCGCGACAUGCUUGACAUUCUCACUGACCGGGAGGUCAUCACACCACAAGAAACAGUGCUGUUGGAGCGGCUCGCUGCUGUAUUCUCAAUCCAGGAGGCUUCGGAGCAUAUUCAAGCCUUUCGAAAAAUACCACUGGACAAAGACACCUGCAGCGUGUGUUCUGCACCAUGUCAGGCAUCAUUACUUUACCGCACACCUGUUCAGGAAAACACUGGUCAGAAAGAGUUGGUGUGUGCCAUUCUCUAUCUCUGUGAACAGAAGUGCCCAUGGAAGACAGUUGUUCGAGCAUUUCCAAAAACAUUAAAUGUCAAGGAGGGCGAGAUUGAGCGGCUGGAAUCAAUGGCAUGUGCCUCUAAGCCACAGCUCAAGCGGUGUCUGACCUGUUCCGGCUUUGAAGUUAUGGAGUCCUGGAGGAAGAAACAUCCGCAACAUGCCACAGUAAAACUGCUACUGAAGUACCUGGCCAGUGAACGGGUCAGCCCUAGCUAUUCUGAAGACAUCAAGAACGGCUUUCACAUGGCAAUGACUGUGAGCUCAAAGUGCCUUUUGUGUAAGACAGGGUGUGAGCUGCAAGCGCAGCGUGGCGAGGCUGUCUCGGUACAAAUUGUCUGCGCACAGAUUCUUAAUCGGGACAUUCAGGAAACAUCUUGAAGGCUCACAUUUUUGAUGUACAGUGCUCAUGGAUUCAAACGCAACAAUUUAGGGCUAAUAUUAAUGAGAACUAACAGACAAUAAUGCCAAGGAAAGUAGAGGGGAUGUUAUUUGUAGUAAUUAAGAUAUAGAUGUGAAGAAAGUAAAGUGGACGAAAAGGUAACUUGCCGCUAGGAGGGACCGAACCUGCGACCUUCGACUAAUGCGUUCAACGCUCUACCACUGAGCUACAGCGGCGGUCAUCUUCCCGUCCACUUUAUGGGGCAUAUAUGGGCACUUAAACCUAGGAGUGUUAGCGCCGAUCGCAGCCAAGGCGGCGAGUGUGGAACACUCUUUUUCUGCCUGUUGGCGUUGCGUAGCACGUGAUCUUUUUACGAGCUGACUGCUGACCAAUAAUCCCUCGCAUACUACCUGAAGGCAUCAAGUCUGUCAGAACGAGGCCCUCACUAUGAAUGUAGGAAAGAUGAUUUUCAAGGGCUCGUUUUUCUUUGUUAGACACAAUAUUAGUGAGAACUAACGCACAAUAAUUCCAAGGAAAGUAGAGGUGAUGUUAUUUGUAGUAAUUAAGAUAUAGAUGUGAAGAAAGUAAAGUGGACAAAAAGAUAACUUGCCACUGGCAGGAACCGCAUAGUAUGUAUGGUUGUCAAAGUGUAUGCUACGUAAAACGGACUUUACUUUUUCUCUGAUGUUAUUAAACACUGCUAAGCAAGUUCCCUUUCUUUAUAUGAAAAAAUUGAGUGUGAAUUGAAGUUCUCGCCUCUCCCAUCUUAUAUCUAUAUUAACUUCAGUAACAUCUAUAUCCUAAUUACUACAAAUAACAUCCCCUCUACUUUUCUUGGCAUUAUUGUCUAUUAGUUCUCAUGCAUAUAAUUCAGUCAUUUGAUCUCUAGCACCCACAGCAGUGUAAAUUUAUUGCUUCGGUAUUCUUUUACAGCAGUAGUGAAGCGCACUUAGGUAUAUUAACAUAACAAAUACAUGGUAUUCUAUGGACAUAAAGUUACAAAAUGUUCCAUACUUCAUGAUAUAUAUUCAAAUAUAUUGAAGGUUGUUAUAGUAUCAAGGCUUAAUUGUACGUCCUACAUGCUACUUUCUUUUGUCAUGUCGUUUUAGCCAGUAUGCGCAUCAAGAAAUUACUGUUCAAGGUGGUGGUCGAUUGCGAAUUGAAUUUAUUGUCCAAUCAUUAAUGUUUUUGUGAUACUGGUGUUAUCUGCACUUCUACCCAGAUGGUUCUAGGCCUAAAGUUGCAUGGUGGCUGCAAGAUUGUGAACUUUUCAAAGCAAAAAAAAAAAAAACACAAAAAUAUUCACUGAGAGAAAAGACCUUUUGAAUCACUUAUUGCAGUGACAUUCAUUUGGCUGUCUCACCUCCAAAGAUGCACCCAUGCUGUAAAUUUUGGUUUUCGAGAAUGCCAAGCAGAAGUGCAGUAAAGGAAUAGUGAAGACAGGCUCUGUUGGCUUGUCACUACAAAAAGUAAAUGGUUCAUUUUAAAAUGUUAAAUGAGCACAUGUCUUAGAUGGGAGGAAAGAAGUCACAGGAUGUGCACUUACUCUCAACUAAAGUUUAUUUGGAGCACACAGUGUACACACCAAUAGGCAAGGAAGGUCCACAGAACACACUGCAAACUAGUGGCAAGGAACAUCGUAGUGAUGAGGAGUGGUUGAACAUAGAAUGUUGCUGGAUCAAACAUUUCAACAAACAAACUUCAUCUUCGUCAGGGCAGCAGCUACUGCCCUGACAAGGCAAUGUAGCAAGUGUGAUUGGACCAGGUUAUUAAACACAUUUGUGAGAUAUAGGCCAUUGAGCAUGGACAAACUUUUUAGGAAUGGGGAGGCCUGAUGUAAUGAUUAGUGCUGGGGCACCCAUGGCAACUACCAACGUAUUCAGAUUCAUUGUCGAAUUAAUGUUCGCCCAACGUCUUAGCCAAGGUAUUUAGCUGUUGCUUGUACUGGCAGUCAAUGGGCAGGUUCUUGUUGUGCCUGUUCAUCAGUAGCAUUGGUAAAUGUUAGUCCAGUUUUGGGACUAUUGGUCACUAGCACACUCCUUUCAAUGACCACAGCAUCGAGUAACAUGGCAAUAGGCUGGUCACUACCAAGUGGCAGGCAUGCUUUGUCGUGUUGCAUGCCCGAGUUGUGUCAUAAUUGUGAAUGCCAUCCUGCUAGCCCUGGUUCCACACAACUGUUGCGAGUGAUCUGGGCAGCUCCACUCGCUGAUUGAAACCGGCUGCAUAAAUGCAGGCAUCUCGUUUUCCUAGCAUUGCAUUUCUCAGCAUUUUCUCAGCGCCAACAUAAGCUGGCUGGGCUAUGUAUUACUUAUUCCUGGGCCACGAAAAAAAAGGUCCCCUUCUGGGGAGAAAUAUAUUCGAAGUAUUGAGACUCUAGGUAACUCUGGAUAUAUGCCUGUGCACAAUUUAAUGGGAACUUUUAGUAUGCAAAAGUAUAAGAAGCCGUGUAUGAAUUGCAGGUCUGCAAUUUUUUACAACAGUGAACAAAAAAUUAUUUUAAAACAUUCUGUAGUUUGCUUCUUCUACACUGCAAUAUGGAGUAAUUAAUGUUCCUUGCCACUUAUAUAUGGCACUGUUUGUGCACAAGUUUCCUUGCUUCUGUGUGUACCUUCUGUCUUUCCUGAAUUAACAUUAGGUUGCGAGUUUGGGCAUGUUUUGUUUCUACUUCGUUUUGUGCAGUCUAAAGUAUGAGCCUAGUAACAUGUUUUAGUAGGAUGUUUUUCACAUUAGUGACUAUAGCCUUUGCAGCAUCAUUGAAGAUGCAUCGUUUCAACAUGUAAAAAUGGUCAUUGCCUUGUACAUACAUGCUGCUGGUAACAUAAUUUGAACAACCUCUGAAACUAUCAUUAAGAUCUGAGGCCCAUGGGCUUCAUUGCAUGAGCAUUUUGAGUGGAUGAGGGUUGCAACGUGGGCUUUUGGUUACUCAUUUGAAAGGCUUUUGGUGUAUCGCGAACGGAAACACGGACACGAGAAGGCACACAGGAACACAACAGGUCUGGUUCUUGAAAAUAAACAUGUUGUUGCUAGUAGCGCUGUGUGGUGUUCCUGUGUGCCUUCUCGUGUCCGUGUUUCCUUUCACGCUACACCAAAAGCCUUUUGAGUGGAGUCGCUGAGGCUCGAGAAUUUUAAUGCUUUGUGUUUUCAAAAGUCUCUGCAUUGAGUGCACGUAAGACAGGAGUGUUAUACACACAACUUGCAUGGUAAAUCUUUUCUGGAUACUUGUAUGUGCUUUUCAUGUAAUUUUUACUUUGUCUUCGAGGGGGAGUAGGGAGUCUUGAGUGGUUAUUCCAGACAUGUAUACAUAAAUAUACAUGGCUGAGGAGAACAGAAAGCUGCUCAAUUGCAGCGCCUGACAGUGCUUCAGAGUCUAUUCUAUAGAGGGCGUCUAUAAUCUCAAUAUUCUGUGUAAAUCAGUGUGCAAGAAACUGAAUAAAGUGUGUUCAUCAAGAUA